UACAGAGGGGGCAAGCGUUGUUCGGAAUUACUGGGCGUAAAGGGCGCGUAGGCGGUUUGCUAAGUUGGAUGUGAAAACUCUGGGCUUAACCCAGAGCCUGCAUCCAAAACUGGCAAACUUGAGUACUGGAGGGGAAAGCGGAAUUCCUGGUGUAGCGGUGAAAUGCGUAGAUAUCAGGAGGAACACCGGUGGCGAAGGCGGCUUUCUGGACAGUAACUGACGCUGAGGCGCGAAAGCUAGGGGAGCAAACAGG
rnacentral:rRNA from 1 species